UAGGUGUAGAAAAGCUUUUGCUUUCCUAGAU
rnacentral:piRNA from 1 species